rnacentral:rRNA from 1 species
GGGGAAUCUUGCGCAAUGGGCGAAAGCCUGACGCAGCAACGCCGCGUGCGGGAAGAAGGUCUUCGGGUUGUAAACCGCUUUCAGUGGGGACGAAGGCGACCGGGUUAAUAGCCCGUGUCGUUGACGGUACCUACAGAAGAAGGUCCGGCUAACUACGUUCCAGCAGCCGCGGUAAUACGUAGGGACCGAGCGUUGUCCGGAAUCAUUGGGCGUAAAGAGCGUGUAGGCGGCUUGCUAAGUCUUGCGUGAAAUCUCGGGGCUCAACCCCGAGCGGUCGUGGGAAACUGGCAGGCUAGAGUGCGGGAGAGGAGAAUGGAAUUCCUGGUGUAGCGGUGAAAUGCGCAGAUAUCAGGAAGAACACCCGUGGCGAAGGCGGUUCUCUGGAACGCAACUGACGCUGAGACGCGAAAGCGUGGGGAGCAAAC